CCCAUCCCGCUGUAUGAAGAAAGCCUUCGGGUUGUAAAGUACUUUCAGCAGUGAGGAAGGUGGGUUUGUUAAUAGCAUAUUCAUUUGACGUUAGCUGCAGAAGAAGCACCGGCUAAUUCCGUGCCAGCAGCCGCGGUAAUACGGAGGGUGCGAGCGUUAAUCGGAAUUACUGGGCGUAAAGCGCAUGCAGGUGGUUUGUUAAGUCAGAUGUGAAAGCCCGGGGCUCAACCUCGGAAUUGCAUUUGAAACUGGCAAACUAGAGUACUGUAGAGGGGGGUAGAAUUUCAGGUGUAGCGGUGAAAUGCGUAGAGAUCUGAAGGAAUACCGGUGGCGAAGGCGGCCCCCUGGACAGAUACUGACACUCAGAUGCGAAAGCGUGGGGAGCAAACAGGAUUAGAUACCCUGGUAGUCCACGCCGUAAACGAUGUCUACUUGGAGGUUGUGGCCUUGAGCCGUGGCUUUCGGAGCUAACGCGUUAAGUAGACCGCCUGGGGAGUACGGUCGCAAGAUUAAAACUCAAAUGAAUUGACGGGGGCCCGCACAAGCGGUGGAGCAUGUGGUUUAAUUCGAUGCAACGCGAAGAACCUUACCUACUCUUGACAUCUACAGAAGCCAGCGGAGACGCAGGUGUGCCUUCGGGAACUGUAAGACAGGUGCUGCAUGGCUGUCGUCAGCUCGUGUUGUGAAAUGUUGGGUUAAGUCCCGCAACGAGCGCAACCCUUAUCCUUGUUUGCCAGCACUUCGGGUGGGAACUCCAGGGAGACUGCCGGUGAUAAACCGGAGGAAGGUGGGGACGACGUCAAGUCAUCAUGGCCCUUACGAGUAGGGCUACACACGUGCUACAAUGGCGCAUACAGAGGGCGGCCAACUUGCGAAAGUGAGCGAAUCCCAAAAAGUGCGUCGUAGUCCGGAUUGGAGUCUGCAACUCGACUCCAUGAAGUCGGAAUCGCUAGUAAUCGUGGAUCAGAAUGCCACGGUGAAUACGUUCCCGGGCCUUGUACACACCGCCCGUCACACCAUGGGAGUGGGCUGCAAAAGAAGUGGGUAGUUUAACCUUCGGGAGGACGCUCACCACUUUGUGGUUCAUGACUGGGGUGAAGUCGUAACAAGGUAACCG
rnacentral:rRNA from 1 species